GACGUAGGGCGCGAGCGUUGUCCGGAUUUAUUGGGCGUAAAGAGCUCGUAGGCGGCUUGUCGCGUCGACUGUGAAAUCCCGUGGCUCAACUGCGGGCUUGCAGCCGAUACGGGCAGGCUAGAGUUCGGUAGGGGAGACUGGAAUUCCUGGUGUAGCGGUGAAAUGCGCAGAUAUCAGGAGGAACACCGGUGGCGAAGGCGGGUCUCUGGUCCAUUACUGACGCUGAGGUGCGAAAGCGUGGGGAGCAAACAGG
rnacentral:rRNA from 1 species